rnacentral:rRNA from 1 species
GUGUCAGCAGCCGCGGUAAUACGUAGGUGGCAAGCGUUGUCCGGAAUCACUGGGCGUAAAGCGCGCGCAGGCGGCGAUCUACGUCUGGGGUGAAAGCCCGGAGCUCAACUCCGGGACUGCCUUGGAUACGGGAUCGCUUGAGGAUUGGAGAGGCAAGGGGAAUUCCACGUGUAGCGGUGAAAUGCGUAGAUAUGUGGAGGAACACCUGUGGCGAAGGCGCCUUGCUGGCCAAUUUCUGACGCUGAGGCGCGAAAGCGUGGGGAGCAAACAGGAUUAGAUACCCUGGUAGUCCACGCCGUAAACGAUGAGUGCUAGGUGUUGGGGGGUACCACCCUCAGUGCCGAAGCUAACGCAUUAAGCACUCCGCCU